rnacentral:rRNA from 1 species
CCGACAAGACGGUGGAGGCAUGUGGUUUAAUUCGAAGCAACGCGAAGAACCUUACCAGGCCUUGACAUGCAGAGAACUUUCCAGAGAUGGAUUGGUGCCUUCGGGAACGUCUGACACAGGUGCUGCAUGGCUGUCGUCAGCUCGUGUCGUGAGAUGUUGGGUUAAGUCCGUAACGAGCGCAACCCUUGUCCUUAGUUACCAGCACGUUAUGGUGGGCACUCUAAGGAGACUGCCGGUGACAAACCGGAGGAAGGUGGGGAGUGACGUCAAGUCAUCAUGGCCCUUACGGCCUGGGCUACACACGUGCUACAAUGGUCGGUACAAAGGGUUGCCAAGCCGCGAGGUGGAGCUAAUCCCAUAAAACCGAUCGUAGUCCGGAUCGCAGUCUGCAACUCGACUGCGUGAAGUCGGAAUCGCUAGUAAUCGUGAAUCAGAAUGUCACGGUGAAUACGUUCCCGGGCCUU